UGAGGCUGAGAUCGCGAGCGGCUGAUCGUUGAAUGGGAGCUGUUGCUGUCAGAUCGCGAGCGCCUCUGAUGCGAACGGGACGCUUGCUGUCUGGAACGCGGGCUGUCCUGGAUCAAGAGUUGAGGCUGAGUUCGUCUGAGCUGAGAUUGUCUGAAGCUGAGACGGGAACGCGGGGUUGCUGAUCGGGAACGCGUAGGAUCGGUGUUCACCGGGUAGGAUUAGGGUUUAUCGAUUUUUGGUUUUAGCUUUAGGAUUUUAGAGGCUAUCGUGCUGAUAACGUGUUAUAAAACUAAGAAGAAUAGUUUGUAUAUUUAUUCAUAAAACAUA
rnacentral:lncRNA from 1 species